AUUGAACGCUGGCGGCAGGCUUAACACAUGCAAGUCGAGCGGAGCGAGGGUGCUUGCACCUUAGCUUAGCGGCGGACGGGUGAGUAAUGCUUAGGAAUCUGCCUAUUAGUGGGGGACAACAUUCCGAAAGGAAUGCUAAUACCGCAUACGCCCUACGGGGGGAAAGCAGGGGAUCUUCGGACCUUGCGCUAAUAGAUGAGCCUAAGUCGGAUUAGCUAGUUGGUGGGGUAAAGGCCUACCAAGGCGACGAUCUGUAGCGGGUCUGAGAGGAUGAUCCGCCACACUGGGACUGAGACACGGCCCAGACUCCUACGGGAGGCAGCAGUGGGGAAUAUUGGACAAUGGGCGGAAGCCUGAUCCAGCCAUGCCGCGUGUAUGAAGAAGGCCUUUUGGUUGUAAAGCACUUUAAGCGAGGAGGAGGCUACUUAGAUUAAUACUCUGGGAUAGUGGACGUUACUCGCAGAAUAAGCACCGGCUAACUCUGUGCCAGCCGCCGCCGUAA
rnacentral:rRNA from 1 species